GGUAAAGGACACGCUCGCUGAGAUGACUUUUAUGGAGACUUGUGACACAUACGACGUGAGCGUGACACCCGUGACACCAUCUGGUGUCGAGGGACCUGCCUUAAACCAGACGGUCACCAUUACAACUGAUACUGUGACCUGCUCCCCGUUGUGACUCCUGAAGGCAGCACCAGCAGCACCAGCAGCACCAGCAGCAGCAGCAGCAGCAGCAGCAGCAGCAGCAGCAGCAGCAGCAGCAGCAGCAACAACAGUCUCAACAUCUACACCACCACCAUCCUCCAGAGUCCGGCCCAUGAAUAACUGAGUCCGGCCCAUGAAUAACUGAGUCCGGCCCAUGAAUAACUAUGAUUACUGAAGUUUAUGCAAAAUCAAGUCAAGGUGUCCCUCGACCCACCUCGACCACUCCUCGGUAUUUCUAGGGAAUACGAUAUUAGAGACCAUCGACAAGGACAAGAAGUGGCUGAUGCUGCCCAUGAUGACUGAACAUUAAGUGGUGUUGACGCCAUCACUGGACUGGAACCCGGUACAAGCUACUUAUCUCAGAUGUGUGUUAUUACACUGACAGAAAAGAUGCUUGUCUGGAGCGAAUUUAUGAGCGUGUCCUAGGAUGAACCCCCCUCAAUACCCCAUCAGUUAAUCAAAAAAACAUAACCACCGCCUUCAUCACUGUGUAAUGAAUCCAGCUAGCAUCCACCAUUAACUGUAUCCUUGAUUACCUGCCCUAAUGGGAAAGUGCCAGCUAUGACAUGUUCCUAGAUAGUUACAGACACGAUCAGUUUCAAGACCAAAGUUAGUAUUGAUGCUCUGAAGUAGUGUUUGGAAUUAUCUCUGCUAUGUCCACACCGUUAGUCACAUCUGUGAUUCACUUACAUCUCUAAGGCGGCCAUUUAUGGAUGAACGCUGGUGCAGAUUAAAGACAUUUCGAGUGUUUCAGAUUCAAGAAUUGAUUUUAUUUAGAGAUGAAUAAAAUCUGCAGUAUCAGACAUUAGUAUCACUUGCUAGUUUGAAUUUCAUGUGAAUAACAUAAACUUUCCCCCUAAUGUUACUAACUACAGCAAGGCAACUAGUUAAGUUAUUUAAGGGGCAUCUUAGGUAUUUUAAUAUGUAUUGUCACUUCUCUGCAUCACAAAUGUUCUAUCAUUAUUAGCUAUAAGUAAAACAACCUGAUAUGGUUAAUAUUCAAAGACAAUAAUAACAUUUUUAGCCUACUGUGAAAUAAUUAUUUGUCAAAUAGUAUAAAAAAUUAUAUUAUUAAUAGGAAUUACUACAACUUUGUCACAGUAAUUAUCACUUUUGCCUAGAAUAAAGUGUCUGUGAAACAGCUUUUAUUUCUGAGAGUAAAUUCAUUAUCAUUACUGACAUUUAUAGAGUAUUUAUUAAAGCUGCUGUUCUGUACUUCUAUUUAGAGAAUAAUAAAAGGAACUCUGGGAGGA